UGGAACAACCUAGGCAAGGGAAGUCGGCAAGCAGGAUCCGAAAUUUCGGAAUAAAGAUUGGCCCUAAGGGCUGAAUUGGUGGUGUUGGGACCCUUAGCGGGGCUGGGCACUCGCUUUGGCUGUAUGAGGCGUGCCGCCCCACCCCAAGCCCGGGUCCGCCCCCGCAGCCCUUCCCCUCUGGCACCCCGACCUCCAGCUUUCUCCUCCCCCUCCCACCUCGCUCUCCCUUCCCCAUCUCCCUCUGCGCCGGGGAGGGGGUCUGGGCGGCGCGUGGGGGGGGCGGCGCCCCAACCCCCUCCGCUUCGGGUCCUAGGGGAGGUCCCCCGCAGGGUCCGCGGGCCCGGACACCUGGGGGGUCGGCAGUGGAGGCAACUCUGGACACCAGCCGGGUCCUUCCUGUGGAUUGCCCCAGCUGCUGCGGGCCAGCCCUCAGGUGGGCGGUCCAGCCCAGGAUUUUGGCCCAGGCCGCGCACACAGGUCUUUCCUCCGCCUGGCCCGCCCCUGGGGCCUAGGUUCCGCGUGGUGCCUUGCCUCAGCCGGUGCCUAGCAGUCCACUUAGACCUGGUGCGGACCACGGGAAUCCGACUGUUUAAUUCAAACAAAGCAUCGCGAAGUUCUGCGAAGGAUGUUGACACCAUGUGAUUUCUGCCCAGUGCUCUGAAUGUCAAAGUGAAGAAAUUCAAUGAAGCGCGGGUAAAUGGCUAGAGUAACUAUGACUCUCUUAAGGUAGCCAAAUGCCUCGUCAUCUAAUUAGUGAUGCACAUGAAUGGAUGAAUGAGAUUCCCACUGUCCCUACCUACUAUCCAGCGAAACCACAGCCAAGGGAACCAUCUUGG
rnacentral:ncRNA from 1 species